rnacentral:rRNA from 1 species
GACGAGGUGCACAAACGUUAUUCGGAAUUACUGGGCUUAAAGCGUGCGUAGGCGGCCUAGCAAGUCGGGUGUGAAAGCCCUCGGCCCAACCGAGGAAUUGCGCCCGAAACUGCUGGGCUUGAGUGAGACAGAGGUGAGCGGAACUGAUGGUGGAGCGGUGAAAUGCGCAGAUAUCAGGAGGAACACCGGUGGCGAAGGCGGGUCUCUGGGCCGAUACUGACGCUGAGGAGCGAAAGCGUGGGGGAGCGAACAGG